UCCUACGGGGGGCAGCAGUGAGGAAUAUUGGUCAAUGGGCGGAAGCCUGAACCAGCCAAGUCGCGUGAGGGAAUAAGGCCCUACGGGUCGUAAACCUCUUUUGUCGGGGAGCAAGGCCCGCCACGUGUGGCGGGAAGGAGAGUACCCGAAGAAAAAGCAUCGGCUAACUCCGUGCCAGCAGCCGCGGUAAUACGGAGGAUGCGAGCGUUAUCCGGAUUUAUUGGGUUUAAAGGGUGCGUAGGCGGAAGGUUAAGGCAGCGGUCAAAUGUCGGUGCUCAACGCCGGCCUGCCGUUGAAACUGGUCU
rnacentral:rRNA from 1 species